rnacentral:lncRNA from 1 species
GAAUUAGUGACACUUUUCCCUAUAAUUUUUUACUAAAUUCUUGGUGGAAAAAAAAUUUUUUUUUCUUCUUCUUUUUUUUUCUUUUCUUUUCUUUUCUUUUUUUUUUGUGGCUCUGUUGCCCAGGCAGGAGUGCAGUAGUGUGAUCUUGGCUCACUGCAGCAACCUGUCAGGCCUCUGAGUCCAAGCUAAGCCAUCAUAUCCUCUGUGACCUGCACAUAUACAUCCAGAUUGCCUGAAGCAACUGAAGAACCACAAAAGAAGUGAAAAUAGGCCGCUCCUGCCUUAACUGAUGACAUUCCACCAUUGUAAUUUGUUCCUGCCCCACCCCAACUGAUCAAUUGACCUUGUGACAUUCCUUCUGGACAGUGAGUCUCAGGAACUCCCCACCGAGCACCUUGUGACCCCUGCCCUUGCCUGCAAGAGGACAACCCCCUUUAACUGUAAUUUUCCAUUACCUACCCAAAUCCUAUAGAACCACCCCAACCCUAACUCCCAUUGCUGACUCCUUUUUCAGACUCAGUCUGCCUGCACCUACAUGAUUAAAAAGCUUUAUUGCUCACACAAAGCCUGUUUGGUGGUCUCUUCAUAUGGAUGCGCAUAACAUUUGGUGCCGAAGACCCCGGACAGGGUGACUCCUUCGGGAGAUUGGUCCCCUCUCCUCACCCUCACUCCAUGAGAAGAUCCACCUACGACCUCAGGUCCUCAGACCAGCCCAAGGAACAUCUCACCAAUUUCAAACCGGACAGGAAUGUCAGGCCUCUGAGCCCGAGCUAAGCCAUCAUAUCCCCUGUGACCUGCGCUUAUACAUCCAGAUGGCCUGAAGCAACUGAAGAACCACAAAGAAGUGAAAAUACCCAGUUCCUGCCUUAACUGAUGACAUUCCACCAUUGUAAUUUGUUCCUGCCCCACCCUAACUGAUCAGUUGACCUUGUGACAUUCCUUCUCCUGGACAAUAAAUCUCAGGAGCUCCCCACUGAGCACCUUGUGACCCCCGCCUGUACCCGCAAGAGGACAACCCCCUUUAACUGUAAUUUUCCACUACCUACACAAAUCCUAUAAAACCGCCCCAUCCCUAUCUCCCUUUGCUGACUCUUUUUUCAGACUCAGUCUGCCUGCACCCACAUGAUUAAAAAGCUUAAUUGCUCACACAAAGCCUGUUUGGUGGUCUCUUAACAUGAAUGCACGUAACACAACCACCUUCAGGGCUCAAGAAAUCCUCCUUCUCUGCCUC